CUGUUAAAGGUUGGGGACUUGCAGUAAAUUAUUUGGGGAAAAUCACAAGUAUAGCUGGGCACAGACUUAAGCACUGACUGUUAGCACGCCAUGUCACCAUCCUUCUUCAGGGCCACAGUCCCCUUGAGAUUUGCGCCCCUUGAUGUUACCACUGUUGGCCUCCUCCAUCCCCAGCUGACUUCUCUCCAACUAGGCUCCUGAAGAGAGUGGUCAUGUCCUCCCGCGGCUCCAGGAUACUGGGCAUCGCUUUAGGUUCUGAGUCCAACCCUUGCAGUCUGAAUUCCCUGCACAGAAAUGAAGUGAUUCGACUUUGAUUGGCACUUAGCCCUUGUUCAGUUUCCGAGUAGGGAAUUUGCCUCUAUUAGUAUAUUCAAUUUCCCAUUUUCCUCCCUCCCUCUUUUUCUUGAAUAAUAUCCUGGCUCCUUUACUCUCUGUCAUUUCACCAUCUAUUCUCUUCAGACCCUCAGAACUUAAAUUUCCACCAGGAAUAUUCCUUAGUACUCUACACUUUUACGCUGACUCAUCACACACUGCAUCUGCUCAGAUACCUUUAGUCUUCAUAGGAAAAACUAUAGCCUCUUCUAAGCUGUGAGCUACUAAAACGAAUGAUGUUACUACCAGGACAAGAUACCUGAGAAUUAUUUUCCUCAGCUUAAAAAUAGCACCUUUUGGGUUACUGGGAUCCUGAAAGCAUUUUGUGAACUACACUACUGUAAAAUGUUAAGUGGUAUUAAAACAAUAAUACAUUUAGAAGAGGUAAGAGUCAGCAUUUAUAUUUAUCAUGAGCAUUUUCAUCCUGCUAAUUUAUAAUCAUAGUUACUGAAUCAAAAUCACCUUUCGGGGAGACAUAGGUUCAUGACAUGCUACUGACAGGUGUUUUCUCCGUAGACAGCUUAUCUCCUGCACUUGACCCUUCUGACUUGAUCCUGACUCGGGGAACUUUGGAUGAAGAGGAUGAAGAAGCAGAUAGUGAUACUGAUGAUAUUGAUCACAGAGUUACGGAGGAAAGCCGUGAAGAGCCAGCAUUCCAGAAUUUUAUGCAAGAAUCAAUGGCACAGUAUUGGAAGAGAAACAACAAGUAGUUUCUAGAAGUCCAGAAUUUUGGAACUCUGUGAAGGAACUAUCCUAACCUCUGAUUGGGGGCUACUAUAAAGGACAAUUUUGUUCAGAGUUAGCAGAGUUUUUCUUAUAGGGAAAUUUGACUUAGAUGCAGCCAGGGAUAGAAAACCAUUGGACCUGGCAGGUAGAUGCAGGUUCCCCUUGGCCUGUCCCUUGGAUUUAUGCAAGGAAGGAUAUUCUGACUAUUCUUGGAUGCUGAUAUCCCUUCAAACCUAAAGCUUCAAGUUUUAUCAUUUGAACUUAAGUACUUUUGCUGCUGAUGGAUGGAACAGCAAGAACUUUUCACUUCAAAUCUCUGUCAGGUUGGAUCUGUAUUCUACUUUCCCAGCAUCUUGCCCUUGACCCUGUACCAUGAGUUCCCCUCUUUUUAGCCGAAAGGGAGUGGAAACAUGAACUUGCCCAGGGUGGCAGUGGAGUCUCCUUGGCAACCAAUCAAUCUUGGGUACAAAGUGUGGGGGUAACUCACUAUAGGACAACAGGUUCAUUGAAGAAAGUGAGCAAAACAUAUGACUAAUGAAUAAGAAUCCUGCUUUGGAUGAUGACUUGGAUAAAGUGUUUUUUUUUUAUUAUUUUUUUUUAUUCUUAUGUUAAUCCCCAUACAUUACAUCAUUAGUUUUAGAUGAAGAUAAAGUGUUUUUAAUUUUAACUUUGUUGUAAGCCUGCCUGUCAUAAUUUCAAAUAAGAAAAUUAUGUAAUUGCAAGUAGGUUCACCUCUAUUCAACACAGAGGUUUAAAGCCACAUGUCCAAACCUGUCUCAGUAAAGAGGGGAUGUUUACUAAAGUCUCCCAUGUACACAUACCAAGUAACCAGGUACAGAGCUAGGCACCGUUUCUAUUAUACUUUAAGGUGAAGUAUCCUUUGUGAUUUAUUCAAAGACCAUGGAUUUGGGUAAGGUGCACAUUCCAUAUAUAAUAGCUUUGGUAAGGCAAACCUUCCACAUUCUUCACAGUAUCUUAAAACAUAGUGUAUUUCUCUUAAGGAAUUUUAUCCAUGCCUAAUCUGUACUCCAAUUCAGCAGUUCUCAAGUAUGAUCACUGGACCAGAAGCAUCAGCAUGACCUGGAAAAUUGUUAAAAACACAACACUUAAGACCUGAAUCAGAAACUGUGGGAGUGGGACCUAGAAAUCUGUUUUAGUAAGUCCAUCAGGGAAUUCCCAUGAUGUUAAGUUUGAGAACUGCUCUAGCUAAAAUAGCCUGUGAUAGUUCCAGGCCAGGAGAAUCUCAGGUAUCUUAAAAUGACCUGCUUUAUCAGAGUACCUAACCUUGACCAUCUGGUGCCUAUUCUCCAAUGUAAAUAUUCUAAAAAGUAUUUUAUUUUACCAUUAAGUAUUAAUUUCAGUGUUCUGCACCUAUAGAUUAUAUACUUAUAGAUAUUAAUUUCAAUAUUCUAUACCUAGAAGCCACUAGUCUUAAAAAUUUGAACCUGUUCAAGAGGAAACCAUCUUGCAAAGCAAGGCUCUGAACAUACUUGGUUUUUCCCCUUAGUGCUUUGAAUACUUCCUUAAAAAAAACUUGUCUGGGGGCUUCUGGGUGGCUCAGUCAGUUAAGUGUCUGACUCUUGAUUUCAGCUCAGGCCUUGGUCUCAGGGUCAUGAGUUCAAGCCCCACACUGGGCUCCAUGCUGGGCAUGGCGCCUACUUAAAAAACAAAACAAAAAAACCCUUGCCUGGCGUAUGCCUUAAGCUCCACUCCAUAAGGACAGGGACAAAGUCUUCCUCAUCUUUGUAUCCCUUGCACAAGAACCAGUACAUAAUAGCUCAAUAAAUGUUUGCUAACUGAAUGAAUUAAAUACUAGAUGACUACUUUAUGGAAA